rnacentral:rRNA from 1 species
AUUGAACGCUGGCGGCAGGCCUAACACAUGCAAGUCGAACGAGUGGAGGAGGGGUGAGUAAUGUCUGGGAAACUGCCCGAUGGAGGGGGAUAACUACUGGAACCGGUAGCUAAUACCGCAUACCAUCGGAUGUGCGCAGAUGGGAGUAGGUAGUCGGUGGGGUAAUGGCUCACCUAGGCGACGAUCCCUAGCUGGUCUGUGAGGAUGACCGGCCACACUGGGACUGAGACACGGUCCAGACUCCUACGGGAGGCAGCAGUGGGGAAUCUUGCACAAUGGGCGUAAGCCUGAUGCAGCCAUGCCGCGUGUAUGAAGAAGGCCUUCGGGUUGUAAAGUACUUUCAGCGAGGAGGCGUUACUCGCAGAAGAAGCACCGGCUAACUCCGUGCCAGCAGCCGCGGUAAUUC